UACGAAGGGGGCUAGCGUUGUUCGGAAUUACUGGGCGUAAAGGGCGCGUAGGCGGUUUGAAUCGUCGGAUGUGAAGGGCCUGGGCUCAACCUGGGAACGGCAUCCGAUACGGUCAGACUUGAGUGUGGGAGAGGUUGGUGGAAUUCCCAGUGUAGAGGUGAAAUUCGUAGAUAUUGGGAAGAACACCGGUGGCGAAGGCGGCCAACUGGACCACAACUGACGCUGAGGCGCGAAAGCGUGGGGAGCAAACAGGAUUAGAUACCCUGGUAGUCCACGCUGUAAACGAUGCGUGCUAGACGUUGGGAGCCCUAGGCUCUCGGUGUCGUCGCUAACGCUUUAAGCACGCCGCCUGGGGAGUACGGUCGCAAGAUUAAA
rnacentral:rRNA from 1 species